GAGAAGGUAUGGACCAGAUUAGAGGUGUGCCUCAAGGACUGGAUUAAAGGUGUAUGUCCGUCUGGAUUAAGACUGUGAGUCACGCCACCUCAGGAUCUGCCUUCCAGCCUCAAGAUCCAGAUCAAAGACACGUUGUCUUCCUGCCUCAAGAUCUGGGUCACAGAAACAUAUGGACUGGGCCCAGAGAUGAAGACCGAUUUCUAGGCCAAAAGCUUUCUUAAACUCCUAAAUCUCCGUUCUAAACCAGUGGGAUCUGUGAGUUCUUGUCUACGAGUCAUUGGAGCAUUAAAAAGUUGGGCCUGAAGGUUUGACAGCUCAACAGGUGCAAAAAACCAGUGACACUCACUGGAACCUUACCUGCACACCCAUGCUCAUUCAUCCUCAUUUAUAUAGAUGUCAUUCCUGUUUCCUUCUCUGUUCAAUACCUGUAACAAUAAUAAAA